AUUGAACGCUGGCGGCAGGCCUAACACAUGCAAGUCGAGCGGAUGAAGGGAGCUUGCUCCUGGAUUCAGCGUCGGACGGGUGAGUAAUGCCUAUGAAUCUGCCUGGUAGUGGGGGAUAACGUCCGGAAACGGGCGCUAAUAUCGCAUACGUCCUGAGGGAGAGAGUGGGGGAUCUUCGGACCUCACGCUAUCAGAUGAUCCUAGGUCGGAUUAGCUAGUUGGUGGGGUAAAGGCCUACCAAGGCGACGAUCCGUAACUGGUCUGAGAGGAUGAUCAGUCACACUGGAACUGAGACACGGUCCAGACUCCUACGGGAGGCAGCAGUGGGGAAUAUUGGACAAUGGGCGAAAGCCUGAUCCAGCAAUGCCGCGUGUGUGAAGAAGGUCUUCGGAUUGUAAAGCACUUUAAGUUGGGAGGAAGGGCAGUAAGUUAAUACCUUGCUGUUUUGACGUUACCAACAGAAUAAGCACCGGCUAACUUCGUG
rnacentral:rRNA from 1 species